rnacentral:tRNA from 1 species
GUGGGUAUAGCUCAGUGGCAGAGUGCAUGCUUAGCAUGCAUGAGGUCUUUGGGUUCAAUCCCCAGUAUCUCUG